rnacentral:rRNA from 2 species
GCUUUUGUACACACCGCCCGUCGCUACUACCGAUUGAAUGAUUUAGUGAGGUCUUCGGACUGGUACGCGGCAUCGACUCUGUCGUUGCCGAUGCUACCGGAAAGAUGACCAAACUUGAUCAUUUAGAGGAAGUAAAAGUCGUAACAAAGUUUCCGUAGGUGAACCUGCGGAAGGAUCAUUA